rnacentral:rRNA from 1 species
AUUGAACGCUGGCGGCAGGCCUAACACAUGCAAGUCGAACGAGUGGCGGACGGGUGAGUAAUGUCUGGGAACCUGCCUAAUGGAGGGGGAUAACUACUGGAAACGGUGGCUAAUACCGCAUACCAUCAGAUGGGCCCAGAUGGGAUUAGCUAGUUGGUGGGGUAAAGGCUCACCAAGGCGACGAUCCCUAGCUGGUCUGAGAGGAUGACCAGCCACACGGGGACUGAGACACGGCCCAGACUCCUACGGGAGGCAGCAGUGGGGAAUAUUGGACAAUGGGCGAAAGCCUGAUGCAGCCAUGCCGCGUGUAUGAAGAAGGCCUUCGGGUUGUAAAGUACUUUUGGCGGGGAAGCGGUAUCUGCAGAAGAAGCACCGGCUAACUACGUGCCAGCAGCCGCGGUAAUUC